CACCAUAUAGUUGGAGAGCCCAAUGAGCCUAAAUGAUUGGCCAAGAGGGGAGCGGACCCACACAAGAAAACCAAGGCGCUUUCCCCCGCACAAGGACGAUCGCCGGUUGAUGGUGUGGGCCUGGCUGCCGGUUAGAAGAGGUCACGCAAGCACUGAACGAAAAUCCGGCGGGGAAUUGCUGUAGGGCUAUCCUGGUACGAUGGAAAACGAUGAGUUAAUUUGGGGAGACAAACUCAUAUUGAGAGGGUUGAAGUUCCAUGGCUUCCAUGGGGUGAAACCAGAAGAAAAGACAUUGG
rnacentral:misc_RNA from 1 species